rnacentral:tRNA from 1 species
UAGGUAGAAGCCCGUUGGUUGAGGCAUAUAGCUGUUAACUAUACUAUCGUGGGAUCGAAGCCCAUCUGCCUAG